rnacentral:lncRNA from 10 species
GCAGUUGGUGGACCUGGUCGCGCUGUGCCGGGUGUGACACUACGUCCUGUAGGUCAGAAGUCUGGACGUGGCAUAGUUGACGGUUUUGCUCAGUCACACAAGGUUGAAAUCAAAGGGUCUGCAAGUGGGAUCUCAUCUGAGGUUUGGGGUCCUUCUAAGCCCUCUGGCAGAAUUUCGUUGUGGUUGUUGGACUGAGGUCCCUUUUUGUCUCGCCAGCUGUUGGCCAGAGGCCAGCUGUGUGUCAGCUAGACCUUUUACAGGCCUUCUAACACUUCCCAUCUUCGUGGCUUUCGGGAGCCCCCAGCCCCUUUUAAAGGCUCACCUGAUUAAGUAAGACUCAGUCAGAUCUCCCUUUUGAUGAACCUAGUCCCAGAAGUGAUAUCUGCUCAUAUUUGUAGGUUCUACCCAAACUCCAGGGGAGGGGAUUAUGUAGAUGCGCUCUCUAGGGGCCAGGAAUGUGGGGAACUAGCUUAGAAUUCUGCCUGUACAGCGUUGUAUAUAUCAUGUUUCGAUUAGUUGGAAGAGUAAGGCAUGGGUGUGAUAGGUAACAGGUUGACUUGACCCAGUAAAAUUUUUUUCCUUAAAUCCUUUAAUCUCUGUGUGUGUAUAAAUCACAAUCUUUGAUAUGAAGAGCAAUGUCAGGGAAAGUGAGGAGUAAAGAAGCAAGGGAGUUGGAUAUCCUUCACCCCUUCCACUGGGAGCUUGGGUAGAGCUAGAAUUUUGGCGUCACGCUGGUAGACCAUGGUGCCCAUGUCUUUCCACAUAAAAACUCCCUCUCUUUCUAAGGAAUUUUAUGUUAAAACUCAGCACUUUAGGAAAGGUUUUCUUGAGUUUCAUGAUGAUGUGCUUUUUAAGUUACCUGAAGCUACACAUAAUUGUUAGUAUAACCUGGAAAUUCUAGAAAUUAAAAGGCUGGCACAAUUACGAUUUUUCUAUGUACAGAGGAAGUACUAAAUAUCUGUACUCUAUGAGGAGACAUAAGACAUGAGGUUUAGAAGGAAUGGUCUGUGUCUUUUGAGGAGUUUGUAGUCUACUUUGGUUUAAAUAUUUAUACUUUUUUUUUAAAGGAAAAUUGGAAGCUCAUGAGUUUGGCCUUAUCUGGUUUCUGCCUGCCUGGGAAGCCCCCUAUCAGAUUACUUUCCUCAUCUGUCUGCUUCUUUCAGUAACUUGGCCCUCCAAUGUUCUUUUCCACCUUAGUGCUUUCCAUAAUGUAUAUUCCUUCUCUACCUAGAAAUUUCAUUUUAUCUGCUCAGAUUCCUAAUUAUAUUCACACUCUUUCUUAACUUAAAUGUUACUUUGCUUAAAGACAUUUUCCUUGGCCCUUCAGACUGUAUAAGGACCUCUCUGAAGUAUUUUCAUAGCAUCUCAUAGUGCUAUUUCAGAGCAUUUAUUUUAUUGUAAAAAAUUGUGUAAUGGUUUGUGUUAUACCUGAUCUGUUUUCCUGUAUCAAAAAUAAAAUUAGGAUGAAUCUAAAAGUUUAUUGUCAUAGAAAAAGUACAGAUCAGAAUCCAGGAGACUUCAAAUCAAGUGGGAAGAGUGGUAAGAAGCUUGCACUCACCAGUAACAGCACAGCUUAUAAGGAUAAAGGAGGAAGCAUUUUGAGCUUUUCCAUUAUUGGUCCUUAUACAUUAAGAUUUUGUUGGGGGGUGGCAAACAGCUGUUUAAGUUGAUUUGUCUACAGUUGAUUGGCUUAAUUUCACGGAAUCAUACUAACAAAAAUGUAAAGCUUAUGUUUUAUAUUUAUGAUUAGAGCAUUUCAGGGAAAUCAGGAUGACUUAAGUUUUGGUUUAUGUGGUUAUGGGCAGUUGGUCUUGAUGUAUAUCUAAACUGUGACUUCCAUUUUUAUUUUAUUUUUUUUUAACACCUGUAAGAUCCAUGAUGGCAUUUAGUGGGUUCUCAACAAAUAUUUGUUGAAUGAAUGAAUAUUUGCUUAGGAAAGCUUUAUGUAAGAAUCCAAAACAUUUUCUAAUUGAAGAGUAGGUUGGAUGGAUGAAUGAGGUCACUUUUAGAGAACUGUGAAUACCUAUCUGUGUUGAUUGAAUUGGAGGUACCAGGGUUUUCUAGGUUCUUAGGAUUGACAUAAUUAAAGGGGCAUUUUUUUUUUCAAAUGUUAAUUCAGUAAUGGUUGUAGAAUGGAUUGUGUACAGGACAGUCUAGGUUAGUGGCCUCAAACUUGAUCAUGUAGAAGAAUUACCUGUGUGUUUUGUAAAUUCCUGGCUUUUAUUCCACCUUCCCCAGAACUGGUUCAGGCCACACUUAAGCACCUGAAGUAUGCUGAUCCAAAUUGUAACAUGCUGCAAGUGUAAAAUACCAGAUUUCAAAGACAUCUAAACUAAUGGAUAUAAAGUAUUAUGUUAAUAUGUUUUCUAAUUGAUUACAUCUUGAAAUAAUAUUUUACAUUCAUUGAAUUAAAUAAAAUGUAUUAUUAAAAUGAUUUCACUGGCUUCUUUUUAGUUUAUUUUCAGUGUGAUUAC